rnacentral:rRNA from 1 species
GAAGGAUCAUUAUCGAGCUAAGACUAAAAGUCUCCGAACGUGCAUGCCUUCCAUAUGCGCGUAUACGUGAGCCGCACAGUGAGCUGCACACAUGUGGUGGUGGUGGCCGUCAGCCGUGUUUUUUUGGCAGACAAUGGUCUGUAGCUUGCUGUGUGUUGAGGGGGGAUAGGUGACGUAUUGGGCUAGUUAGAAAGGUACGCCGCGAGCGCCUAUCCUCUCGUUAUUGGCAAAAACGGUAUCCAUUUGGUGUCUACACCCUACCUAGCUACUGCCUGGACCGUCGGUAGCUAUCAAAGGUGGGGAUAAAGCUCCUCGUCUUUACGGCGAGUCGAGUAGACUUAAUGAGUCUCAGCGAGGAGGCCACCAAAACCCAAACACAACCAGUCUUUUGUUUGAAAUGUUGUGAAGGUACUUCCUCGUGUUGUGCCUUUGAAACUGAGUAUAAAUCUUAGCGGUGGAUCACUCGGUUCGUGGAUCGAUGAAGAACGCAGCUAGCUGCGAUAACUAGUGCGAAUUGCAGACACAUUGAGCACUAAGAAUUCGAACGCACAUUGCGCCAUCGGGUUCAUUCCCGUUGGCACGUCUGGCUGAGGGUCGAAUUUGAAUAUCAAACAUCCGUGUGUUUUCCAACUCAUGGUGUAUUCGGCGAGCUAUGAUGGUGUUGUUGGCAAUGUGCUGCGUGUGUGUGUUGCGGCCUCUUUUAAGGAGAGGUCACUUCAUGUGCUCGAGGCAUGGCCGACGCGCCGACAUACCUUGCUAAGGCUUUGUGCCAUAUAUCGCUCGUAAUCAUUUGCUCCAUGCGAGGCGAUGAUGGCCGUCAAGUGUCGCUCUCUUAACCAUAGAUACGGCUCCGAGCACGUGUUUGCCAAUUGGCUAUCGGUUUGGGGUGCCCGUAUCAGAAUUGCUGGAAAUGGAAGAGAGGGUGAUGCUAGGUUGCUGUCACUAUGUUUUGACCUCAGCUCAGUCGUGACUACCCGCUGAAUUUAAGCAUAUAACUA